rnacentral:rRNA from 1 species
UACGUAGGGUGCGAGCGUUGCCCGGAUUUAUUGGGCGUAAAGGGCGCGUAGGCGGUCACGCACGUCCGUUGUGAAAUCGCUCGGCUCAACUGGGCGGGGUCAGCGGAUACGGCGUGGCUGGAGCAAGCUAGGGGGCAAUGGAAUUCCCGGUGUAGUGGUGGAAUGCGUAGAUAGUCGGGAGGAACACCAGUGGCGAAGGCGGUUGCCUGGAGCUUUGCUGACGCUGAUGCGCGAAAGCGUGGGGAGCGAUCCGG